GGACUACAGGGGUAUCUAAUCCUGUUUGCUACCCACACUUUCGCGCCUCAGCGUCAGUUACUGUCCAGGUGGCCGCCUUCGCCACUGGUGUUCCUCCUCAUCUCUACGCAUUUCACCGCUACACGAGGAAUUCCACCACCCUCUCCAGCACUCUAGCCUCCCAGUCUCAGAUGCAGUUCCCAAGUUGAGCUCGGGGAUUACACAUCUGACUUAAGAAACCGCCUACGCGCCCUUUACGCCCAAUAAUUCCGAAUAACGCUUGCCCCCUCUGUAUUACCGCGGCUGCUGGCAC
rnacentral:rRNA from 1 species